rnacentral:rRNA from 1 species
UACGAAGGGGGCUAGCGUUGCUCGGAAUCACUGGGCGUAAAGCGCACGUAGGCGGAUCGUUAAGUCGGAGGUGAAAUCCUGGAGCUCAACUCCAGAACUGCCUUUGAUACUGGAGAGCUUGAGUCCGGAAGAGGGAGUGGAACUCCGAGUGUAGAGGUGAAAUUCGUAGAUAUUCGGAAGAACACCAGUGGCGAAGGCGGCUCACUGGUCCGGUACUGACGCUGAGGUGCGAAAGCGUGGGGAGCAAACAGG